UUUAUGGAGAGUUUGAUCCUGGCUCAGGACUAACGCUGACGGUGUGCAUAAUACAUGCAAGUCGAACGUGCAAUGAAAAAGUAGCAAUACUUUUUCAAAGCAAGUGGCGAACGGGUGCGUAACGCGUGGGUAAUCUGCCUUGAAGAUUGGGACAACUCCUCGAAAGAGGGGCUAAUACCAAAUAUUUUAUAUGAACCGCAUGAUUUAUAUAGCAAAGGUAGCCGCAAGGCUUCCACUUUAAGAUGAGCCCGCGUCCUAUUAGCUAGUUGGUAAGGUAACGGCUUACCAAGGCUAUAAUGGGUAGCCGGUCUGAGAGGAUGGUCGGCCACACUGGGACUGAGAUACGGCCCAGACUCCUACGGGAGGCAGCAGUAGGGAAUAUUGCGCAAUGGGCGAAAGCCUGACGCAGCGACACCGUGUGAAGGAUGAAGAUUUUCGGAUCGUAAACUUCUGUCAAUUGGGGACGAAGGUAGUAGAGUUAAUAGCUUUUACUAUUGACGGUACCUAAUAAGGAAGUCUCGGCUCACUCCGUGCCAGCAGCCACGGUAAGACGGGGGAGGCAAGCGUUGUCCGGAAUUAUUGGGCGUAAAGAGCGCGUAGGUGGUUUGUAAAGUCAUUUGUGAAAACUUUAGGCUUAACUUAAAGACUGCAAGUGAUACUGACAAACUUGAGUACAGUAGAGGAAAGUGGAAUUCCUGGUGUAGCGGUGAAAUGCGCAGAUAUCAGGAAGAACACCAGUGGCGAAGGCGGCUUUCUGGGCUGUUACUGACACUGAGGCGCGAAAGCUAGGGGAGCGAACAGGAUUAGAUAC
rnacentral:rRNA from 1 species